GGCCUGCGCCCGACGUCAGCACGUCCGGCGUAGUCGUCACCGCGUCCUGCGCCCGGCGCCUCGGUGCUUCCUGUGUGCCUUCUCCACGCCUGCGGACGCCCCCUGCGUGUUCACCCACCGACCCGGCGCGCUCACUCACGCUCACUCUGUCGCCGCCGCUGCCUUACCUAUGUCUGCAUACGCCAAUCCAGAUCCACGGCGCCCCUUAGUUCACCUGAAACAGAUCAAGCCUGUCAGGGUCACCCUUGAUUUAAACAUGAUACUGAUAACUGAAAAUUUUAAGUUUACAGAGUACUUUAAAAAUAGCCUUUCACCUAGGACUGUAACUCCUGCUCCCAAAACCGCGUAUAUGAAGUAGAUACUUGGAGUAUAAAUGGAUAAAGAUCAUGUAGUAGGUAUGAAAACAGAAAAGGGACUUCCCCGGCAGUCCAGUGGUUCAGACUGUGUGCUUCAAUGCAGGGGGUGAAGGUUCCAUUCCUGAUCGGGAAACUAAAUUCCAGUACACUUUAUGGCAAAAAAAAGAAGAAGAAAAGAUGAGCCCCUGUUGAAGAGCUAGUAAACUGUGACACAGAAAAA